AAUUACCCACUCCCGGCACGGGGAGGUAGUGACGAAAAAUAACGAUACGGGACUCAUCCGAGGCCCCGUAAUCGGAAUGAGAACACUUUAAAUCCUUUAACGAUUAGCAAUUCGAGGGCAAGUCUGGUGCCAGCAGCCGCGGUAAUUCCAGCUCGAAUAGCGUAUAUUAAAGUUGUUGCGGUUAAAAAGCUCGUAGUUGAAUUUGUGUUCCGCGCUGUCGGUUCACCGCCCGCGGUGUUUAACUGGCACGUCCGCGGAACGUCCUGCCGGUGGAUGCGUGGACCCUGUACGCUUACCCAUUGUGCGUGUGCAACUCCGGUUGUUACUGUAUGAUGUGGCUGGGCUGCAGGCGCUUCACCAUCCGACUCAAUAAUCCUGUCGCGGUGCUCUUAAUUGAGUGUCGAGGCGGGCCGGCACGUUUACUUUGAACAAAUUAGAGUGCUUAAAGCAGGCUAAAAUUUCGCCUGAAUACUGUGUGCAUGGAAUAAUGGAACAGGACCUCGGUUCUAUUUUGUUGGUUUUCGGAAACCCGAGGUAAUGAUUAAUAGGGACAGAUGGGGGCAUUCGUAUUGCGACGUUAGAGGUGAAAUUCUUGGAUCGUCGCAAGACGGACAGAAGCGAAAGCAUUUGCCAAAAAUGUUUUCAUUAAUCAAGAACGAAAGUCAGAGGUUCGAAGGCGAUCAGAUACCGCCCUAGUUCUGACCAUAAACGAUGCCAGCUAGCGAUCCGCCGACGUUCCUCCGAUGACUCGGCGGGCAGCUUCCGGGAAACCAAAGCUUUUGGGUUCCGGGGGGAGUAUGGUUGCAAAGCUGAAACUUAAAGGAAUUGACGGAAGGGCACCACAAGGAGUGGAGCCUGCGGCUUAAUUUGACUCAACACGGGAAAUCUCACCGGGCCCAGACACCGGAAGGAUUGACAGAUUGAUAGCUCUUUCUUGAUUCGGUGGGUGGUGGUGCAUGGCCGU
rnacentral:rRNA from 1 species